rnacentral:rRNA from 1 species
GGAAUAUUGCACAAUGGGGGAAACCCUGAUGCAGCAACGCCGCGUGAGUGAUGACGGCCUUCGGGUUGUAAAGCUCUGUCUUCAGGGACGAUAAUGACGGUACCUGAGGAGGAAGCCACGGCUAACUACGUGCCAGCAGCCGCGGUAAUACGUAGGUGGCGAGCGUUGUCCGGAUUUACUGGGCGUAAAGGGAGCGUAGGCGGACUUUUAAGUGAGAUGUGAAAUACUCGGGCUCAACUUGAGUGCUGCAUUUCAAACUGGAAGUCUAGAGUGCAGGAGAGGAGAAUGGAAUUCCUAGUGUAGCGGUGAAAUGCGUAGAGAUUAGGAAGAACACCAGUGGCGAAGGCGAUUCUCUGGACUGUAACUGACGCUGAGGCUCGAAAGCGUGGGGAGCAAACA